rfam:Camelus ferus unplaced genomic scaffold scaffold140, whole genome shotgun sequence.
GAGGGUAUAGCUCAAGGUGGUAGACCGCAUGCUUAGCAUGCAUGAAGCCCUGGGUUCAAUCCCCAGCACCCUCU